rnacentral:rRNA from 1 species
CGGGUGAGUAACACGUGGAUAACCUACCUAUAAGACUGGGAUAACUUCGGGAAACCGGAGCUAAUACCGGAUAAUAUUUUGAACCGCAUGGUUCAAAAGUGAAAGACGGUCCUGCUGUCACUUAUAGAUGGAUCCGCGCUGCAUUAGCUAGUUGGUAAGGUAACGGCUUACCAAGGCAACGAUGCAUAGCCGACCUGAGAGGGUGAUCGGCCACACUGGAACUGAGACACGGUCCAG